rnacentral:tRNA from 1 species
GCCCGGGUGGUGAAAUUGGUAGACACGCCAGCUUGAGGGGCUGGUGGUUGCAAGACCGUGCUGGUUCGAGUCCAGUCCCGGGCACCA